CUACGUGCCAGCAGCCGCGGUAAUACGGAAGGUCCAGGCGUUAUCCGGAUUUAUUGGGUUUAAAGGGAGUGUAGGCGGUCUGUUAAGCGUGUUGUGAAAUUUAGGUGCUCAACAUCUACCUUGCAGCGCGAACUGGCGGACUUGAGUGCACGCAACGUAUGCGGAAUUCAUGGUGUAGCGGUGAAAUGCUUAGAUAUCAUGACGAACUCCGAUUGCGAAGGCAGCGUACGGGAGUGUUACUGACGCUUAAGCUCGAAGGUGCGGGUAUCGAACAGGAUUAGAUACCCUGGUAGUCCGCACGGUAAACGAUGGAUGCCCGCUGUUAGCGCCUGGCGUUAGCGGCUAAGCGAAAGCAUUAAGCAUCCCACCUGGGGAGUACGCCGGCAACGGUGAAACUCAAAGGAAUUGACGGGGGCCCGCACAAGCGGAGGAACAUGUGGUUUAAUUCGAUGAUACGCGAGRAACCUUACCCGGGCUUGAA
rnacentral:rRNA from 1 species